GUUGGCUAAAUCGACUCCAGAUACAGAGCCUCUUGUUUGCUGGUCAGCCCGAGUUCAUUCAGUGUCAAAGCACUCUCCUCAUCACUGAAAGCCCGCUUAGGGUAUGGCCUCACCUGUACCCUCAACGCAAUUAGAACAGGAACAUAAACUUAUAUCCUUUAUAAGGUGUAGUCAGUAUGAGCAUAGGGUUUACUCGCAGAAGUCAGAAGGAAUAGAGAAUAACAGUGAACUUACCAAUCUGUAAGUGCCAGGUUUGACCCCUCUACCAAUAUCUAUGAAGUCAAAAAGAAACUGCAAGGCAAAUAAGAAUGCAUGUUUAGCAACGAGCCAAGUGAUGGAGCAAAACAAUCAUUCCUCCAAAUAGCAUACCUGUAGCUUGUCAGACUUAAGAAAUCGGCGCCCACGGCGUAUACCAUCCGGCAUCCGUACCAGAAGGGUUACAGCAUUUUCAUCAUCCGAUCCUGGUUCCUCUGGAAGAGAAGCUUCUUUUGCAGCCAGUUGUCUCUCCAAUUCCUGCCAGUAAGAAUCAUAACGAUUGUGGCAGUAAACAACUUGAAAAAUAAAUAAGUAAUAUAUUCAUUUCAUUUCUGUCUUGUCCAGUAAACGGCAUAAACCAAUAUUAAGGUAUAAUUUCUGUCACGAAAAAAAAAAACAAUCAGGUGGGAUGCAAUGAUGUAAAACAAGCAGGGUGUAUGCAUCAUAUAUCCAAUUACAAGGAGAUAAUUGAUAGCAUAAUAAUGAAGAAAAAACCAUCUGGAAGAAAAAUGUUGAGUAUUGAAGCUCAUUUCAGAUCACCUAGUAAAUACCAACUUGCCAUCUUUCUUCUAAUCAAAUUCUGAAAUUCACAAGAAUUUUGAAACAAGGUUUUUAGCUUCAAACCAUAACUUGAGCAGAAAACCUUACAACUUAUCAAAAGUUUCUGUUUCCAAGUGCAAUCACUUCUUACAUGAAAGGAGAACUUGUAACCUAUAAACUUAUAAUUAAUUUGAAAUAUCAAGUCAAUACUAAUGUAUAAUUAUUCAAACCCCAGAUUAAUCAGAGAAGACAUUAAAAAAAUUAGUGAAAAACAAAUACAAAUGGCUGUGUUUCAAGCUUUGUUUGCCAAACAUACAGGAUACUGACCAUUUCACUAUUCAAUGGCAAAAGAAUGCAUGUAGUUUGGAUCUCCCCCUAACUUAGAUCGCCAGAUGCAUCUAAAAGCUACCAAGAACUGGGAAAGAAGAGGGAUUUAUAUUUUUGGGUUUUACUAGUUGCAAGGGGAACCUCAUAUCCAUGUUGCGGCACACCUCUACCAAUCAAAUAUCAAUCAACAGUACCUGUUCUUCCUCCAAUUUCCUGCGAGAUUCUUCCUCUUUUUGUCUGUCUUCUUCACGAGCUUUUUCUCUAGCAGCUUCCUCUUCUAAGCGAUGAGCUUCGGCUUCCUCCAGGGCCUUUAAUUCUUUUUCUUUGUCAGCCAGCAAAGACGCGUGAUAUUCAUCAUCCUGCAAGUGUCAGACAAAUCAUAGAACCACUGAAAGUUAAAUCACAUCAUGUUUGAUAAUUUUUUUUUUUGAUAAGUAAGAAGAAAUAUAUUAGAAAAGAAAAGGGCAAGGCCCAAGUACACAGGGGGUAUACAAAGAGCCUUGCUACAGGCUAAGAGCUGCAAAGAGCAGCGUAAAGUUC